rnacentral:rRNA from 1 species
AACGAACGCUGGCGGCAGGCCUAACACAUGCAAGUCGAGCGAUCGGCGGACGGGUGAGUAAUGCAUGGGGACUGCCCGACAGAGGGGGAUAACUACUGGAAACGGUAGCUACUACCGCAUCCUCUCGGAUAUCACCUAUGGGAUUAGCUAGUAGGUGGGGUAAUGGCUCACGUAGGCGACGUUCCCUCGCGGGUCUGAGAGGAUGAUCAGCCACAGUGGGACUGGGAACCGGCCCAGACUCCAACGGAGGCAGCAGUGGGGAAGAUUGCACAAUGGGGACAAGCCGGAUGCAGCCAUGCCGCGUGUAUGAGGAAGGCCCUAGGGUUGUAAAGUACUUUCAGUCGGGAGGCGUUACCGACAGAAGAAGCACCGGCUAACACCGUGCCAGCAGCCGCGGUAAUUC